GACGAACGUUGGCGGCGUGCUUAAUACAUGCAAGUCAACUGAAGCAGUGGUAGCAAUAUCGCUGUGGAGGUGGCGCACGGGUGAGUAACACGUAGGUAAUCUGCCUUCAGGUCUGGCAUAACUCCGGGAAACCGGGGCUAAUAGCAGAUGAUGCAGCGGCUCGACAUCGAGACAGUUGUUAAAGCUAUGGCGCCUGAAGAUGAGCCUGCGGCUGAUUAGCUAGUUGGCGGGGUAACGGCCCACCAAGGCGACGAUCAGUAGCUGGUCUGAGAGGAUGAUCAGCCACACUGGAACUGAGACACGGUCCAGACUCCUACGGGAGGCAGCAGUAAGGAAUAUUGCUCAAUGGGAGAAAUCCUGAAGCAGCAACGCCGCGUGAGGGACGAAGGGCUUUUGCUUGUAAACCUCUGUAGUGAGAGAAAAAAAUCCCAAUCUUUGGGACAUGAUGGUAUCUCAAAAGUAAGCCCCGGCUAACUACGUG
rnacentral:rRNA from 1 species